GAUGAAGAACGUAGCGAAAUGCGAUAAGUAAUGUGAAUUGCAGAAUUCCGUGAAUCAUCGAAUCUUUGAACGCACAUUGCGCCCCCUGGUAUUCCGGGGGGCAUGCCUGUCCGAGCGUCAUUGCAACCUUCAAGCGCGGCUUGUGUGUUGGGUCUCGUCCCCCGUGGACGGGCCCGAAAGGCAGUGGCGGCGUCCCGACAUGGUGCCCGAGCGUAUGGGAAUCCUCUUCCGCUCGAAUCGGCCCAUGCGGCGCUGGUCGUAACCAAAUUUUUUACCGGUUGACCUCGGAUCAGGUAGGGAUACCCGCUGAACUUAAGCAUAUCAAUAAUCGGAGGA
rnacentral:misc_RNA from 1 species